rnacentral:rRNA from 1 species
UCGGGAAUUUUGGGCAAUGGGCGAAAGCCUGACCCAGCAACGCCGCGUGAGGGAUGAAGUAUUCCGGUAUGUAAACCUCGAAAGAAUGGGAAGAAUAAAUGACGGUACCAUUUAUAAGCUCCGGCUAACUACGUGCCAGCAGCCGCGGUACUACGUAGGGAGCAAGCGUUGUUCGGAUUUACUGGGCGUAAAGGGCGCGUAGGCGGCGCGGUAAGUCACUUGUGAAAUCUCUGAGCUUAACUCAGAACGGCCAAGUGAUACUGCUGUGCUAGAGUGCGGAAGAGGCAACCGGAAUUCUUGGUGUAGCGGUGAAAUGCGUGGAUAUCAAGAGGAACACCUGAGGCGAAGGCGGGUUGCUGGGCCGACACUGACGCUGAUGCGCGAAAGCCAGGGGAGCAAACG